rnacentral:rRNA from 1 species
UACGAAGGGGGCUAGCGUUGUUCGGAUUUACUGGGCGUAAAGCGCACGUAGGCGGAUCUUUAAGUCAGAGGUGAAAUCCCAAGGCUCAACCUUGGAACUGCCUUUGAUACUGGGGAUCUUGAGUCCGGGAGAGGUGAGUGGAACUGCGAGUGUAGAGGUGAAAUUCGUAGAUAUUCGCAAGAACACCAGUGGCGAAGGCGGCUCACUGGACCGGAACUGACGCUGAGGCGCGAAAGCGUGGGGAGCAAACAGG